AUGGUUCGAAAGAUUAAAAGGGAAUUGAGUGAAAAGCUUAAACGGUCCCGCCACUGUAAAGAGGAUGAAAAUAGAUUAAUCCACUGAAUUUUUAUUUUAAAAUUUGGGAAGGAAUAUGAGUAAAGUGAAUCUGAGUCAGGAGACCUGCCAUUAUA
rnacentral:ncRNA from 1 species